rnacentral:rRNA from 1 species
UGGGGAAUAUUGGACAAUGGGCGAAAGCCUGAUCCAGCCAUGCCGCGUGUGUGAAGAAGGUCUUCGGAUUGUAAAGCACUUUAAGUUGGGAGGAAGGGCAGUAAGCGAAUACCUUGCUGUUUUGACGUUACCGACAGAAUAAGCACCGGCUAACUCUGUGCCAGCAGCCGCGGUAAUACAGAGGGUGCAAGCGUUAAUCGGAAUUACUGGGCGUAAAGCGCGCGUAGGUGGUUUGUUAAGUUGAAUGUGAAAGCCCCGGGCUCAACCUGGGAACUGCAUCCAAAACUGGCGAGCUAGAGUAGGGCAGAGGGUGGUGGAAUUUCCUGUGUAGCGGUGAAAUGCGUAGAUAUAGGAAGGAACACCAGUGGCGAAGGCGACCACCUGGGCUCAUACUGACACUGAGGUGCGAAAGCUUGGGGAGCAAACAGG